rnacentral:rRNA from 1 species
UACAGAGGGUGCAAGCGUUGUUCGGAAUUAUUGGGCGUAAAGCGCGUGUAGGCGGCUUGGUAAGUCGGGUGUGAAAUCCCUCAGCUCAACUGAGGAAGUGCGCCCGAAACUGCUAAGCUUGAGUACCGGAGAGGAUGGCGGAAUUCCCCAAGUAGAGGUGAAAUUCGUAGAUAUGGGGAGGAACACCGGUGGCGAAGGCGGCCAUCUGGACGGAUACUGACGCUGAGACGCGAAAGCGUGGGUAGCAAACAGG